GCCCUGGUGCUGGGCUCAAGUCGGUAGAGCACAAGACGCUUCAUCUUAGGGUCACGGGUUCGAGUUCCGCAUCAGGCU